UCCUAUUCCUUUCUAAUAAGUCCCCUUUCUCAUGUGAUCUGUUGUCUUUGAUCCUUCCCCCUUUUGGGUUUUGUGUUUUAAAACAAGACCAUAAAUCAAAAUCAGUGCUUAACACAGAUGAUAAAUUGCUGAAGAUGAAAUAUAUUGCAUUUCAGGGAAGAUAAAAACUGUGCAGAACUGUCCAUUCUUUACUUUGAACUAAUUGGGAGAUUUGGGACAAAAUGCAAUAAGCAUUGGGGAAAACUUUUAUGAAAAAAUUGGGAAUGAAUCUUGAAUUAAGAAUAGGGAAAAAUUAGGACAGGGUGAGAAAGAGAUUGAGUAGAAGUGGGAAGCAUAUGACAGUGUGUCAUUGUGUAGAAGUGGAUGAGGAAGAAGGUAAGCUGCAGGGCUGGGGUAGGGGAUCCAGUCAUGCUACAGUACAAAGCCAAGUGUCAGAGGUAGAGUCCAGCAAAAGCAAAAUAUUGUAAUUAAAAAAAAAUUUGGGGGGGCUGCACCCAUGGCAUAUGGAGGUUCUCAGGCUAGGGGUUAAAUUGGAGCUGUAGCUGCUGGACUAUGGCACAGGCACAGCAAUGCCAGAUCUGAGCCACGUCUGUGACCUACACCACAGAUCACAGCAAUGCUGGAUCUUCAACCCACUGAGCAAGGCCAGGGAUCGAACCUGCAUUCUCAUGGAUGCCAGUCUGAUUUGUUUCCGCUAAUCCAUGAUGGGAACACCAAGAGUAAAAUAUUAUAAAGACAAAGCAGAUACUAUGGAGCAUGUCUUGAGUCUCAUUGAGAAAGUGAUAGGCAUGCUUUAGGAAUAAUGGCUUGACAGUAAUAUUUUGAAUGGCUUUGAGGGGAAAACAAGGAUGGUAGAAGAAUAAAUUGUUGCUCUACCUAAGGUAUAGUUUGAUUUAGAUCUGAGCUAUAGGAACAGAGAGAAAUGGACAACUCAAAUAUUUUGAAAUAAGGAUCAAGUCUUAGGUUACAUAUGGCAUGCAGGGUCAUAGAUAACAAGAAAAUAACAAUGAAAAGAUUGAUCACCAAGGGGAGCUGAUUUUGGGAUCUGAUGUGUUUCCAUAGCUGGCAAGAUAUAGGAGUGAAGGGCUUAGGUGGGCAAUUGAAAGUAGGGGAUAGAGGUAUACAUGGUUAAGUCUGGGGGAUGCAUUUGGGAGUAAAAUGUAUAGAGAAUUAUGAGAGUGAAUAAGCUGUCAUCUCAAUAUCAAGAUGGGCAGAAGGACACCAUCCUAGAAUUUCAGGCAGUGAAGACAGGAUGCUUUAGACAUAAUGACUAAAGCAAUAAAAAAUUUAUGGAGUAGAAUUCUAUAUGCAUGGCCUACUCUAAGCAUGUCAAGCCUAUUGGGUCAUUUAUUUUUAUUUUUUUAUUUUAUAAUGAUUCUUAUUUUGUCCAUUAUAGCUGGUUUACAGUGUUCUGUUAAUUCUCCACUGUACAGCAAGGUGACCCAGUUACACAUACAUGUAUACAUUGUUUUUUCUCACAUUAUCAUGCUCCAUCAUAAGUGACUAGAUAUAGUUCCCAGUGCUAUACAGCAGGAUCUCACUGCUUAUCCAUUCCAAAGGCAAUAGUUUGCAUCUAUUAACCCCAGAUUCCCAAUCCAUCCCACUCCCUCCUCUUCCCUCUUGGCAACCACAUGUCUAUUCUCCAUGUCCAUGAUUUUCUUUUCUCUGGAAAGUUUCAUUUGUUAUAUAUUAGAUUCCAAAUAUAAGCAAUAUCAUGUGGUACUUGUCUUUUUCUUUUUGUCUUUUUGCCUUUUUAUAGGACCACUCCCAUGGCAUAUGGAGGCUCCCAGGCUAGGGGUCUAAUUGGAGCUAUAGCCACCGGCCUAUGCCAGAGCCACAGCAACUCGGGAUCCAAGCUGUGUCUGCAACCUACACCACAGCUCACGGCAACGCUGGAUCCUUAACCCACUGGCAUAGGCCAGGGAUCAAACCUUAUGGUUCCUACUCAGAUUUCUUAACCACUAAGCCAUGAUGGGAACUCCUUUCUUUCUCUUUCUGACUUAAUACACUUAGUAUAAGAGUCUUUAGUUCCAUCCAUGUUGCUGCAACUACCAUUAUUUUGUUAUUUUUUAUGGCUGAAUAGUAUUUCAUUGUAUGUAUAUACACCACAUCUUUUUAAUCCAAUAAUCUAUUAGUUCAUUUAAUCCACAUUAUGGGAAAGGAAAUAGAAGCACUAAGAAAAACAAGAGUGCAGUCUUGGAAAAUCAAGGAAUUUGAAAUUUGAUAUUUCUACUAAAUGUUAGAGAAAAGUGAAAUAGAUGGAGAAAGUUUAUUGUUGCCUUUGAGAUAAUUGUUUCAUGAAUUCAGUACAGAAGACCAAUUAUAGAGGAUUAAGUGGAAAAUAUUUAGAAGCAGUAUAAAGGGGACCUACAUACAGUGAGUCUGGCAUUGAAUGGAAGAAUAAAAACAGGAUGAGGGCCAAACUACAGAGCUUUUGAAAAGAAGAUGUUUAAAUAUAAUUAAAGGGAGAUGGGGACAAAUACAAGUAAGAGAAUGUUGCCAGUUAAUGAAGGGAAAGCAGCAUCCUGGGAAACAGGAAACCAAAGGGAAUCUAGCCUAUGCAUGGAAGCAGGAGCAGGUACUGUGAUCUUGGUUAGUUUUAGGGGAAAUAGUGUAAGGAUAUCUGGUAAUAAUCCUUUGAUGACUAAUUACAUGAAGAGCUCACCAAAGGGCUUGUUUACAAUGUCUUCAUCAAGGAGAAAACAGAAGCAGGCAGUACUGGGAGUUAAAAAUACUAAGGGACAAAAGGAGAAGGUGGGGAGAAGGAAGGAAACUAAUGUUCACUGAGGAGGCACUUUGUGCCAGGUGCUGUGAUAAGAACUCUGACAAAUUGGUCAUUGUGAGUCUUUAAUGCAUCAGUUAUGUAAAAUUGAAUGUCUUCCUACAGAUUAUAUCUGAUCUUUCAGUCUUUAUUAUUUUGCCUGGGACAGUUUGUCCUCUCUCCUUUCCCCAUAUUUUUAUUUCCCAUUGACUUCAGAUAGACUUAUUAUGUAAGAAGAAUUUUGCUCAGGGUGAAUGGGGAUGUUGUACGUGUAAACUUAAUCUCAUAUACCAGCGUUUUCCUAGUAUUUCAAGUUUGCAUAAAUAUUCACACUUUUGGGUUCUCCAUCAUCUGUUGAAUAGAAGUCUUCAAUCUCCCUAAUGCAUUCUUAAAAUUACUUUAUGUCUGUUGAAAUGUUCAUGUUUCAUGGAGAAGUAGAUGAGUUCUUAUUCUCAGGCAGACUAAAAGAAUUAUGCCCUCCGGAAUAGGAAAUAAAACUAAGUUUAUGUACCUGGUGUCUUCAUCAUCUGCAAUAUGAUAGAAUGUCCAAGAGCUGCUUUUUUUUUUUUUUCUGGUAAAAUUAUACUAGGCUACGAAUACUCAAAAGACUAUUGCUAUAUAGUUAAAUUCAUAUUUGUUUUCUGUCUUUCACCAUUUGUAGCUGGUCAUUGAGCACUGGUGCUUCUCAUAAAUUUGAAGAGUAAGUGCUCAAGCUGCAUUGGAAAGACACAGGUCAGUGGUAAGGGAAGGUGGUCUUCAGAUAUCAAUGGAAGGAUUUUUUAAAUGCUCACUGUGCAUCAGAUAUGCCUAUUCUUGUCUCCUCUAAGCCCUGGAAAGCAAAUUCUGAGGGUACUCCUAUUUUCUGCUCAAGAUUUCCCCCUUGCAUUGCUACCAGUGAUGGCUCUCUUCAUAGUGUUCUCAAUAGCAAUUUGAAAACAUCUGUUUUGGCCAUUGGAUUAUCAGGAAAGUGUUUGUAAAAAUUAAUACAAAUCCACUAACCACUAUCUGAAGUGCUCCCCUACUGCUCUUAGAUUAGCGGGAGCAUUUUUUUGGGGCAAGGCAUAGGAUUUUUAAACAUUAUUCUGUAUGUCUCAGCAUCACAAAUCUAGGCUCCAGUGUUAAAGAUUCCUGUCCACUAUAUCUUAAGGAACUUUGAGUAUGUUUAUUUUGAAAAGUCUUCCUUGCUAAUUAUGCAGUAUUAAAAUUAUUCAAGUGAACUUUUAUUUUUCAAAAUUCAGAUUUAUGAGACAUUUUAUUAAAAAAAUUGGAGAUAGUGUGUUGGGUUUUCUGGUCAUAAAUUUCCUAAGUUGUUAAAUUACAAAAAAACACUUCCUAAUUAUAUCAACUUUACGGUUUGUGUUACUUUUUGGAAUGUACUCACUAGAACUUUUAAAUUCUUACACAGAAUAUUAAAAAGCAAGCAUUAGAAGAAAAAAAAAUUGCAAUAGAUGGAGUAUAAGCUGAGUUGCUAAAAACAGAGCCAAAAAUAGUGACCGAAACAAGACAGAAAGUUAUCUCUGUCCAUGUAACAGAUAAGAAGCCAUCCAGGCAUGGAAUUGAUUAUGAUCUAAGAGGGCAAUGGAGGACAAGGCUUCUUUUGUUUGAUUGAUGCAUCAGUUUGAGGAUGUUUCCCUUGGAUGAAUGGACAAAGUUAUCUCACCAGCACCAUGUUUGCAUUCAAGGGCAAUUUCUAGUAAGAAUGUGAUCUGGAAGUUGCCGUCAGUCCUGUUGGCCUUUUCCUAGAGGCCUAAAUGGAGUCACGAAACCACACCCAAAAGAGUGACGGAUACUAGGGAGCUUCUGGUAGCCUCUUUCAAAUACUCAGGUAAAUUAAUAACAACCCAUGGGCUGGAAACUUAGAAAUGAGAAGAUAAGAAAAUCAUUAGGGGGGAUGUAGGCUGUUCGUAAAUUACAAAAACACAGGGGACGGUGUUAAUACGUAAUCUGUUUUGUUUUACUGGCUUGUGGAAAAAAAAUAACAAUACUAAAAACGUAACCCACUUUGCGAUCCCUGCCUAUAUGUUGAGAGAAGAUGCCUUAACAUCCACAACAUCAUUUUUUUUUUCUUUCCUCCUGAUGGUUUGCUGGACUCUGCUUUGAUUGUGCUUUACAUCCAUCUGAAUUGUAACAGCUGGAAAGUGUCUGCAGCCUUGCUCAAUUCCUUACAAAAGCGGAGUGACUAUUCUGACAGUUUAAGGUAAAAAACCCAGUAAAAAAAAUUCCCAUGAAGCAAUACCUACAGUUAAAACAGUUUAUCACUUUACAUAAAGGAAGCAAGCUCAAGCCUGAAAUGAAUUUUGGAAGUAUUUCCCUUAAAUCUAUGGAAUAAAAAAGAUUAUAGAUAAAAACACAAAUACAAUUCAGUAACAUGCAUCUUAACUUUCUUUCUUUCACAAUAGUGCUAUCUUGCUUUUGCUGUACAGUUUUUGGAAAUGUCCCCAGCUUCUCUGGCUUAGAAUAUAUAUAUACAACCUUGUUAGACUAUGGUGUGGGUUUAUAGUCAUUGCUGUGAUUUAUUAGCUUUAAUGCCUGCAUUAGUUCCUUCUUUGACUAAUUCCUACCCUAUGAACAUAUGCAUGUUCCCACAGCUCUACUUAAGGGUCUUUGUAUUAAUAGCAAUAUGAUUAAUAUAAAGACCUUUCAGUUUAUGUAAAAGUACUCUUUCUAGGUGUUAGGAAUCACUAGCUUUUCUCCACUGGAAAUGAAGUCUGGUUGAAAGAUUGCAACCAAUCUAAGCCUCAUUAUUUCUUGCUCCAUGCUUAGAAUUCUCGGCUAUGACCCCCUUUCCUCCCUUAUUAUAAUGAAUGUACUCCUUAUAGUGAAGAUGGAAAAGGGGAAAUGUUCAUUCUAGGAAUCCUAUGUGGACAUUUCCAGCAGACUGGAGCACAAAGUGCACUGACGUCUAGCUGAUCUUCUUAUUUUAAUAUGUACAUCCCAUUUAAUUGCAGUAGUAGAUAAGACACUGUACAACUCACACAGAUGGAUAACUUGAUUACCUUUUAUAAUUUUCUUGACUUGACAAGUGUUGGCAAAGGCAAUACAUUAGUCUCUCUGUCUAGGGCAUCAAAUGUCAUAGUGAUAAUGGGUUUGGGACCACGUGUUUCCUUUGGUGACAGGCUGACACAUGCUGUUCUGUGGUUUUAGCUAGUGUUUGGAAGAGAUGAGAGAAGGUUGCAAAGAGGUGAGAAGUAUAUGAAUCAGUUCUUAGGGUGUCCUACGGCUCUGAAGAAAAUGACUUGAAACAAUUCCAGCCUCUUGCUUUUUUUGUUCAAUCAAUUCCCAGCUGGGCUGUGACAGAAGGCAGAUGAUAAGG
rnacentral:lncRNA from 1 species